AGAGUUUGAUCAUGGCUCAGAACGAACGCUGGCGGCAUGCCUAACACAUGCAAGUCGAACGAGACCUUCGGGUCUAGUGGCGCACGGGUGCGUAACGCGUGGGAAUCUGCCCUUGGUUCGGAAUAACAGCGAGAAAUUGCUGCUAAUACCGGAUGAUGACGUAAGUCCAAAGAUUUAUCGCCCAAGGAUGAGCCCGCGUAGGAUUAGCUAGUUGGUGAGGUAAAGGCUCACCAAGGCGACGAUCCUUAGCUGGUCUGAGAGGAUGAUCAGCCACACUGGGACUGAGACACGGCCCAGACUCCUACGGGAGGCAGCAGUGGGGAAUAUUGGACAAUGGGCGAAAGCCUGAUCCAGCAAUGCCGCGUGAGUGAUGAAGGCCUUAGGGUUGUAAAGCUCUUUUACCCGGGAUGAUAAUGACAGUACCGGGAGAAUAAGCUCCGGCUAACUCCGUG
rnacentral:rRNA from 1 species